rnacentral:rRNA from 1 species
UCGGAACAAAGUAGAAAAACCUGAAGGUUUUUCUAAA